AGCCGCCGCCUCCUGAUGAAGAAUUUCUCUUUAGUGUAGCCUCUCUACUUGAGAAUGCUCGAUUUUUAGGUGGAGGAAAGCCUAGAUUCAAAGAAUUAUAUGCUUCUUAUGCGCUUGAGUAUGAUAUGUGCUUUGAAGAGUAUGUAGACAUCCCAGAAGAUCUCUCCAGGACGGUAGAUUUCUCCGGUAAGACCCCAAAUUGUUUCUAGAUUUUUCUAUUUUUGAAAAUUUAUUAUAAAUGGUAUUUUAUUUAACCUCUCUUUAUUGCAUGUAUGUAUGGCUCAGAGCGUAUCCCAACCGUCAGAGGGCCUAGGACAGCCGUCUUCUGGGACGCCGUGGAUUGCCCUUUCCCUCCUUCUUCCACCCCUGAUGAGAUCUACCACUCUAUCUCAUCAGCUCUUGUUGAAAGGUAUCUUAGUGAUAAUAUUACUAUCUGGGCCUAUCUUGAUGAUGAUGACAAGAAAGGGUCUGCCUUACUGGGUGGUGACAAGACGUGGGCUUCCAGAAUCUACUUUCUUCCCGGAGGUGUGAUCAUUUCCCCCUCUCUUUUUCUUCUCUCACUUGCAUUUGUUAAUAUUUAUUUAUUUGAUUUUUUUUUUUCCUUUUUCCAGGGGAUAAAGCCUCGAGACGUAUCAGAAUGUUAAAUGACAUGUUUUUAUUGGCAAGGGACUCUCCUCAGUGCAGUAAUUAUGAAGCUAGUUUGGUCCUGUUCGCAAAUCAGUUCAUAGGUGCCGGCUACUACAUCGAUAUGCUUCAAAGAUUGGAUGCCAUUCGUUACCAUAUUCUCUUAGUCACUCCGACUCUGGACAUCAACAAACCCGAAACCCCUCAAUGGCCCGGAUUGCUUUUAGAUAGAGGCGCAGCCAGUUUUGCUCUUGAAACUAGCAAAAUCUCUGAAGAACCUCCUAGCCCCAAAAAGCAUGAAGCCCUUGCCGCCGCUGAAGAAGAAGAAACACCUAAGAAGCUGGACACGCAUGGCAAACUUCUCUUGGAAACUGAGGACAUGAAGAAACAACAAAGCCAUGAAUGUCCAGGACGGCAAAUAGAUGGAGGAUCAGGCUGGGGAAGCUCUGAAGAACCUUAUCUCAAAAAGCAUAAAGCCGGUGUGGCCGAAUAAACAUCUGAUGCGGCCGACGAAACACCGUAGGGGUUGGGACUAGCUAGCUUCUGUUGUCGUAGCCCCGUGGAUGUUUAUUUAAGCUUUUAUUUAUCAGUAUUUAAAUUUUUAUUUAUCAAAAACUCUGCUAUAUUUAAGUUUGUACUUGUAUUUUGAACUUCAAACUCUGUUGUAGUAAUUUUAUGACUUCUCUUUUUAUUCAUGCAAUCUUUGGUUUUUCUUAUUGUUGUCUUCCUUCUGUUUAACCGCCAACAAACUCGGGCAUUGCUGUUUUUCUUCAAAAUCAUGUGCUACACCAUAAUCCCAGCAUCUUGUAAUCGGGGAAAGGAUUAUUCCCUUCUAAACCAUUUCCAACCUGAAUCCAAACAAGUGAUAUGCACUUUUUUUUUGUCACAAAUUUCAUUAAUUUAAAUCUAAAAGGUCUCAACGAUUACAAACCGGAGUAGUUUCGACGGUACAAUGAACAAAAGAAGAAGCAGUAAAGCAAUAACACAUGAGAUAGAAGUGUUUAAAGGAGAGGCUUGCUCAAAGUAGAGAGAUCGGCAAAAAAAUCUUCACUUGAAUCCUUGAAACCACAGCCCGGAAGAGCUUCAAAUAGUCUGAGACGACGUUGAAAUACCCUAGUGAAAGGGAUUUGGAGGAGUUCAAUACUGGCUUGAACACCAAAAAAGAUUCACCUCUCGUGGAGAGGGAUGCAGGAGAGUCUAUCUCAACCGCAAUAGUAUCAAAAGGCCUUAAUUGCCUGGAUUUAUCAUUGAAACGCACACGAACAGCUCUAAAAACUGCAAGACUUACCCAAGAGACUAGGUGAAUCUCUAACUCUAGCUUCACUUUCGAAGAGCUUAGGACAAUGGAGUUUGGUGACGAAGUAUACGGUUUAAUCGGGUCAGAAGCUCGGACCUUGACAUUACCGUGUCUAGGCCAACUUAUUGUAACCGGAAGAAACUUGAGCAAACUGUCAUCGUACUCGUUUCCGUUGAGCGUGAGUGAGUAAGCAUCGGAUAAGAGGCAGUGAGAUUUGGAAUAGUCGGGUUGAAGCCUUAACUGCUUGGAUAUUGAAAUAAGGUUUCGAUGAGAUGCAGUAAGAGGAGACUCAAAGGAUAUGCGAUCCUUCACAAAAGAGCUCCCGAUUAGGGUUUCACCAGAGUCGGAGUGGAAGCUAAGGCCGCCGUGAGAGGAAGAUGAACCAUCGACUGAUGGGGCAUUGCGUUCACCGGAGCAUACCAGAACCAUAGCGGUGCUUGACGAAGGAGAUACAUGUACGAUGGAGAGGAAAGCUCCUCCUCCGGUGAGACAGAUCUGAAUUGUCUCUGUUCUUGACCCACGGUAGUAGAUCUCGUGGAAGAAACAUGAUGCCCUAAAUCCGGAGGUGGAGAUGGAGGGAAGUGAAAUAGGUGGGGAGGAGUGAGGCGGCGUCUGGUGAAGAUCUCGAAGAGAGGAUGAAGACGGUGGCUUUGAUUGGGAUGUAACCAUUGGGUCCGGUGGGUCAGGUGGAUCUGGAGGAUCUCGUGGGUGAAGAGGAUUUAACAGCACCGAAGCAAACAUCCACCGACGGCAAGCGAGAGAGAAGACCAGAUCCUGGUUCAUCGGCGCGGAGGGAGGUAGCGGGAGCAGAGCCAUCGGAAAAACUCAAACGAACUCGACGUCGGUGAAAGGAGCACAAUCGUUGGCCAGAGACAAGGACGAGGAGGAGCUUCAACUAGGAAGAGAACGCACCAACCGUGCCGGAGAAACAACGGUAGAACGAGCUCAUUUUUGUCGUUGCGGCUUCCUUGGUUUCCGUGUCUGAGAGAGAAGCUUCUCACAUCACAUGAUUCUCUAUAACAAGUGAUAUGCACUAAUACGACUGAAAUGUUAUAAAUUAAUUACUUUAACCAAACAACAUCGUUUAAGUUGAACUUAUGUUAGAGUCAUUGUAGAUUUAAUUCCAUGAAGUUCAGAUAGUUUAUUUGAAUUAUAAUCAUAUUAGAGUCGUAUUUAGCACAAACAUUUAGCAGGAUGGAAGUUGUUCGGUCAAAUAAAUAUUUUCACUCUUGUAAGUUUAUAGUUGUUCUGAGAAGGUGCUAAUGUUGAAAUGGCUUGUCACAAAGCAUAAACAAACAUCCAUUCCUCAGAGACUUCCUCUUCCCUCCAACCUUAAAUCAUAAUCAGAUUCUACUUCUCUUACCAUGUGUUUAAUAGAUAAGCUUCCACAUUCUCAAAUCUUUCUUUUUCUGGGCAACAAUUCUAUGUUUGAUAUUUCUGAUUGGAAGAGAUAAAAUUUAUGGAUUUCCUUAGGAGUAGAAUAUACCUCGUUUGCUCCUUUCAAGUCCUUUUGAUGCAUCUGAAAUCUUGAAAAGACAUUUGCAAGCAUCUUUGUUGUCUUCGCAAUCUUUCUUUGCUCUCAGUAAUAUUAGGAAAGGAUCAACCAGCUCUUCUUUUUUCAUGUCCUUUUUUAUGUACCUGGAAAUCUUGAAAAGACAUUUUUCGAUCAUGUUGUAUGUUGGUGCUCUUGGCUAAGUUGUUUCAGAACAUCAAAGGAGGAGGAGAUCUUGGAUUGGAAAAGGCAAGAAAGAAGUUCAUCAAGCACCCUAAGCCUCAAGAUUCGUCAACAGGAGGGGAGAUUGUGAAGUUUGAAGCUGAUGACUGGGAGAUAUUGUUAAUGUCUGGGGAAGAGAGUGAGAGCAAAAAGAACUUGAUGGCACAAAACACUGAGUUUUAGUCUAACAUUUUUAAUAUCAAAUCUUUGAAGCUUUGUGAAUCCCCUAUACACUAUUUGAUAAGUGGUUUGACAAGUGUCUUUUUUACAUUCAUUAUCACUAAAAAAUAAUGACAUGGAUUUAAAAAAAAAUGGCAUGACAUCAAUUUAAUUAUAUGUAAAAUUUCCUUAUAAAACAUUAUAAUUUUUGGAAAGACUUUUUAAAUAUGGUAUGCUAAUAAAUUUUACAUAAAAUAAAUUUUAUGUAUAAAUAUUAUUUUAGUAAGAAUUUUAAUAUAUUAGUAACUAAUAUAUCAUAUAUCACCAUUACAAUAAUAUAUAUAUAUAUAUAACAUUAAUAAACAAAUAAACUAAAUAUAAGUACAUUGUAAAAAAAAUCACGUUAACUUAUAUAUCCAUUUUUUAUAAAUAAAUAAAUAUAUAUAUAUACAUAUAUUAAAAUUAAUUGUAAAUGUGCUUUAAAAUACAAAACUAAAGCAAUAUUAAUCAAAUAAAAAUUUAUUGAUAAUUAAUGUUUAAAUUUUUUUUUAGCAUUUAUUGGUUUAUUUAGGGUUUCCCCAAAAAAAACGAAAAGAAUGCACACAGAUCCGUUCCGUUGAAAAUAUGUCAGCACCCUUGAUAUUUUCCUUUUUUAAAAAACAAAAAAUUGAGAUCCAAGAGAGAUAUAAAAACAUGCCCUCAUAGAUAUCUCAGCAAGCUGCAGCCUAGCUCUCUCAUCCGUCCGUGGAGAAAAGCAUUCAAAGCAAGAUCUAACCCCUAGCUAGAAGGAAGGUCUCUCCAAUUCUCAUCGUCAUCUCCGCAGAACCAUGGGCGAAGACGAUACCAUCGGUUUUGAGUCCUGUAAGAUCUCUCUCCAUCUAAAAUUGUUUUGUUAGAUUUCAUCUGAUUCGAUUAUAGGGGAAGUAAUGGUUUAUUUUUUCUAAUUUUUUCGUAAAUUCGUUUGUGUGUAGUGAAGCAGACGCUCGUGUACUGGAACAUGGAUGACUACCCAAUCCCUGUAGAUACUACAGAUGAGCUUGAUCCUGUUUUCGGUGAUAUCUUAAAAGCUCUUGAUGUAAUGGGCUUUCGUGAUGGGCAUAUAGACGUGUUUCUGUAUGAUGAGCAAAUCAACAGGGAGGGGGCUCUAGUCGACUGGACUUUACCCGAAAGUAAAUUCCUCACUCUCCUUUGCUCGUCAUCGUUUCUAUUUUAAAUUAUAUUUAUAAUGUAAUCGGACUUGUUUCUCUGUUGUUGUUUGUAGGCGAAACUUACGGCGCUUGUUUUUACAAAGUGCCGGAUAUCACUUGGUAUAUGAUUCGUGACUCAUCAUUUUACAGAGCAGGACCAGUAAAUUAUUUUGUAAUUGCAAAACCAAAAAGGGAGUUACAUAGGGUUCUGCACUGUUUGCAAUCAAGGCGUCACAAUGUUCUUCUAGUAAAGCCGCCGCCCCCUGAUGAAGAAUUUCUCUUUAGUGUAGCCUCUCUACUUGAGAAUGCUCGAUUUUUAGGUGGAGGAAAGCCUAGAUUCAAAGAAUUAUAUGUUUCUUAUGCGUCUGAGUAUGAUAUGUGCUUUGAAGAGUAUGUAGACAUCCCAGAAGAUCUCUCCAAGACGGUAGAUUUCUCCGGUAAGACCCCAAAUUGUUUCUAGAUUUUUCUAUUUUUUGAAAAUUUAUUAUAAAAUGGUAUUUUAUUUAACCUCUCUUUAUUGCAUGUAUGUAUGGCUCAGAGCGUAUCCCAACCGUCAGAGGGCCUAGGACAGCCGUCUUCUGGGACGCCGUCGAUUGCCCUUUCCCUCCUUCUUCCUCUCCUGAUGAGAUCUACCACUCUAUCUCAUCAGCUCUUGUUGAAAGGUAUCUUAGUGAUAAUAUUACUAUCUGGGCCUAUCUUGAUGAUGAUGAUGAUGACAAGAAAGGGUCUGCCUUACUGGGUGGUGACAAGACGUGGACUUCCAGAAUCUACUUUCUUCCCGGAGGUGUGAUCAUUUCCCCCUCUCUUUUUUUUUUCCCGUCUUUAUAUGUUACUCUCACUUGCAUUUUAUUUGAUUUUUUUUUUUUUCCUUUUUCCAGGGGAUAAAGCCUCGAGACGUAUCAGAAUGUUAAAUGACAUGUUUUUAUUGGCAAGGGACUCUCCUCAGUGCAGUAGUUAUGACGCUAGUUUGGUCCUGUUCGCAGAUCAGUUCAUAGGUGCCGCCUACUACAUCAAUAUGCUUCAAAGAUUGGAUGACAUUCGUUACCAUAUUCUCUUAGUCACUCCGACUCUGGACAUCAACAAACCCGAAACCCCUCAAUGGCCUGGAUUGCUUAUAGAUAGAGGCGCAGCCACUUUUGCUCUUGAAACUUGCAAAAUCUCUGAAGAACCUCCUAGCCCCAAAAAGCAUGAAGCCCUUGCCGCCGCUGAAGAAGAAGAAACACGUAAGACGCUUCAAAUGAUAUGAGUGCCAUGAGUGACUUCUUUGAUCCACUUCGUUUUUACAAGUGUGUUUUUGCUUAACUUUUAGUUAAUUGGCAUAUAUUCAAUUGUGUAAGUUUUUGUGUAGAAUCUCAGCUUGAUAAUGCACAACUUUUAGGUGGAGGCAUGAGGAGGAUUACGAAUGCAUGUUUGGACAGGGAUUUCAAAUCUUUUUAGGGUUUCCCGAGAAAAAAAAGGAAAAGCAUGCUACUUCGGUUGAAAAUAUGUCAACACCCUUGAUAUUUUCCUUUCUAAAAACAUGCCCUCUCUCAUCCGUAAUGAAUUAAGGAUAUUUUCUUAAAUAGAAAAGGAAAUCCAAGUUUUGAAAUUUUUAUAAAUAUGGAUGUAAUGGAUUGUAAAUUGUUCGUUCACAUAAUCCAUAUACAAAUUCUAAACAGAUAUUUGUUUCAAUAGCUUUUUGCUUUAUUAAGUUUCUUUUGAUUUUUUUUCAAAGUUAAUAUAACUUUGUUGUUCAUUCACAAAAAAAACCUAACUCCUAACUUAGCUAGAACACCAUGGGCGAAGACGAGGCCAUCGAUUUUGAGUCCUGUAAGAUCUCUUUCCAUCUCUUACCCCCUAAAUUGUUUGUUAGAUUUCAUCUGAUCGAUUAUAGCGAAAUGAUGUUCUUUUUUUUUUAAUUUUCCGUAGUGAAGCAGACACUGGUGUUCUGGAACAUAGAUGACUACCCAAUCCCUGUAGAUGCUACCAAUAAUCUUGGUCCUAUUUUUGGUGAUAUCUCAAAAGCUCUUCAUCUAAUGGGCUUUCGUGAUGGGCAUAUGACUGUGUGGCUGUAUUCUGAGCAACUGAACUACGACAGAAAAGAGGUGGGCGAGGCAGAAGUAAUCUACCACUACUUACCCCAAAGUGAGUUUCCUCACAACAACACUCUCUUUUGCUCGUCAUUUCUUUUUUUAAUUACAUAUGUAAUGAUCUGAGUUCUUUUCUCUGUUUGAUAUAUAUAGGUAUGUCUUAUUCAGCUGCACUUUACAAAGUGCCGGCCAUGACUUUGUAUAUGAUUCAGUACGCAUCAAAUAUUGGACCAGGACCUGUAAAUCUUUUGGUAAUCGCAAAACCAAAAAGGGAGUUACAUAGGGUUCUGCAGUGUUUGAAAUCGAGGCGUCACAAUGUUCUUAUAGUCGAGCCACCGCCGCCUGAUGAAAAAUUUCUCUUUAGUGUAGACUCUCUACUUGAGAAUGCACGAUUUUUAGGUGGAGGAAAGCCUAGAUUCAAAGCUUUAUUAAGUCAUUAUGCGCUUGAGUAUGAUACCUCCCAAGACUAUUAUGUAAAGAUCAAAGAAGAUGUCUCCAAGACGGUAGAUUUCUCUGGUAAGUCAUUGUUUGUUUUAGAUUUCAUCCAUUCAUAAUAAUAUUAUUACAAAUGGUAUUUAUUUAACCUCUCUCUCUCUCUAUCUAUUGCAUGGAUGGCUCAGAGCGUAUCCCAACCGUCAAAGGGGUUAGGACAGCCGUCUUCUGGGAUGCCGUGGAUUGCCCAUUCCCUCUUUCUUCCACCCCUGAUGAGAUCUACCACUCUAUCGCAUCAGCUCUUGUGGCAAAGGGUUUUAGUGCUAGGAUUAAAAUCUGGGCCUAUCUUGAUGACGACAAGAAAGGGUCUUGGAGGGAUGUGUUACUGGGUGACAAGACGUGGGCUUCCAGAAUCUACUUCCUUCCCGGAGGUGAAAUUUCCCCUCUUUUUCUUUAUAUAUCUACUUUGUAAUCUUUACCUCUCACUUCCGUUUGAUAAUAGUAUUUAUUUAUUUAUUUUUCCUUUUCUAGGGGAUAAAGCCUCGAGACGUAUCAGAAUGCUAAAUGACAUGUAUUUAUGGGAAAGGGACUCUUCUAGGUCGACCAGGUCUUAUGAAGCAAGUUUGGUCCUGUUCGCAGAUCAGUUCAAAGAUGACGCCUACUACGUCCACAUGCUUCAAAAAUUGUUGAAUGACAGACGUUGCGAUCUUGUCUUAGUCAAUCCGACUCUGGACAUCAACAAACCAGAAACCCCCGAAUGGCCGGGAUUGCUAUUAGAUAAAGGAGCAUCCUGGUUUGCUGACGAAACAAGCGAAAUCUCUGAAGAACCUAGCCCCCAAAAGCAUGAAGCCGAAGAAGAAAUACCUGAGAAGCUUCCAGUUAUGAGUGACAUGGAUUAUUGUCGUUUUGGGGAUUAAACAAGCGAAAGCUCUGAAGAUGAGGACAUGAACAAACCAGAAAGCCGUGAAUGGCCACCAGGAUUGCUAAUAGAGGGAGGAUCAGGCGUGGAAAGCUCUGAGGAACCUUGUCCCGAAAAGCAUAAAGCCGAUGCCGCCGAAGAAGAAGAAACACCUGAGAAGCUUCCCGUGUAUCGCUGGGAUCCUAUUACUCUGAUGUACAAACUAAAAAGCCUUGGAUGAACAGGCUGUGAAAGCUCUGAAGAACCUUGUCCCAAAAAGCGUGAAGCCGAUGCGGCGGCCGAAGUAGAAACACCAGAAGCUUCAAAUUAUAUGACAAUGAGUGACUUCUUUGAUCCACUUUAUUUUUCCAAGCGUCUUUUUUUACUUCACUUUUAGUUAAUUGGCAUAUAUUCAAUUGUGUAAGGUUAGCUAUUUUACUCAACUGCCUAUGUGCUGUUGGCUAUAAUAUUGUUGAAUGGAAUAUAGCUCUGUUUCUAAAUCUAUCGGACUAAGAAUAGGAUUUGAUUGUUUUUUCUUAUGAUUCAUGAAAUUAGGGUAAAUAAGAUGUGAUUCUUAGUUGUUUUCUGGUUUCAACAACUCAUUAUUCUUUGCUAAAUCCAUCUUCAGAAACUAGGAUGUACGAGCUUUCUAGUGUGUGAGGAAUUCUUUAACGUUAGGUUUCUGUACUAAUUGUAUUUCGUCAUAAUCCUCUUGUGUUUCAUCAGGGAUUCCCUUCUUGGGAAAAGGAAGCUAAAACUUUUUCAGCAUAUGAGUAACAAACUUGAUUUAAAAUUGUUGUCAACUCAGCCUUGUUUAUUUUUUGCCUUGGCUGACUUGACCUAGUUUUACCCUUUUGUAGUUUACAAAUUCAUCUCAUAAUAUAUGAAAUUCACAUUUUGGUAAAAAUAAUAAUAAUAAUAAUAAUAAUCAACAUUAUAAUGAGCCAGUUUCAAGGCUCCUCAGCGCGCUACGUCAACAUUAUAAUGAGCCAGUUUCAAGGCUCCUCAGCGCGCCACGUCAGCAUUUUGUGGGUCCCACCUUUAAAAAAAGUGAAAAAAUGUCAAGCCCAUAACUCGAACCCGGGUUAUUAACAUAUAAACACCAACAUUUAUACCACUAAACUAAAGGAUACUUUGUAUGUUGAUGGUUGAAACUAAUAUAUAUUUAUGAAGGUCAGUUUAAUAAUGUCCCACAAAUAAAUAAAAUGAUUUACAAAUCAAAUCACGUUCUCUAUUAUUUGUUGAUUGAUUUGUGAGCUUAUUUUUUAAACUCGCUAGCCCAUCUAUUACAUCAGCUUAUACAUUUGAUUAAAGCGUCUAUCUUAAUAAACCAUAAAACUGGUCCUAAAAAGCCUGCAAGUCGUCAGCUCUUCGUCUUCGACUGAGACCUAUGGUUUUCCCAAUCAUGCGCCUCCCCUCCAAUACACAGACGCUACUGUCUAAACUUCUCCAAUCAAAUCCAUGGAACUCUUAGUCUCUUUCUAUCUCUUCAUCUCCCCCUCUUUACGCACACCAUCAAAAACGCUAGCGUCUCAUAACUGAUACGAACGGCUUCGCUAUAUAUAGGUCAUGUUAGAUCCAGGAGUCCAACCUCUCAUAUCUACGAACACUUUUUGUUUCAAUUGUUGAGCAUGUCUGUCUCUGAUGCUAUUGCCGUCCUCCCCACCACCUUCAACGCUCUCCGCAUUUGUCGGUCUUCUCAAGUUUGUUGUUGGCCGUCUCCUCAGCUACUGGGAUCCCCGUAACAUCAAUAAAAAUUGUGAAUUUAAAAUUGUUGUCAACUCAGCCUUGUUUAUUUUUUGCCUUGGCUGACUUGACCUAGUCUUACCCUUUUGUAGUUUACAAACUCUUCUCAUAAUAUAUGAAAUUCACAUUUUGGUAAAAAAAAUAAUAAAUAAUAAUAAUAAUAAUAGUAAUAAUAAUGUUCUUGUGUCCUGAACGAUAUUAGGUGGAAAGGGUUUAAAAGUCGGUACAAACCAGUGGAUUGGAUUCGGAUCGGAGCUUGUGUCCUCGACGAUAUUAGGUGGAAAGGAUUCAAAAGGGUUUAAAACAAGGUAAUAAUCUUGUUCAUUCAGUUUGCCAUUUUCUCUUGAGCAAGUGACAACUUUUGAUUUCUGUAUUCUAAUGUACACAGGAAAGGAUAUUGGAAGAGCAUAGGAAAAUGUUGCACAACAGCACAAGGUAUAGUGAAACGGGACCAGAAAAGGAGAAAGAGAAUCUCGAAGCUGCUGGAAUAGAAUCUAAACAAUUUACAUAACUUUACAUGUAUUUGACCACAUUGGAAAAAAAUAUAUUUAAUUGUAGAAAAUAGCUUUUGGUAUAAUGUUAAACGAAGGAUUUUUGAAUUAUAAUUAGUUUAAUUUUUUUUGUUAUUUUAUAUUGAGGUUAUAAUAGGUAUUAUUUAAUCAUAUUAAAAAACAAGAACAAUACUUAAGUCUAAAACUGAAACAGAUGGAGUAAUUAUUAACGUGAUUAAUUUGUAUUAAAUUCUUUUAUAAAUAAAUUAAAUAAUUGUAUUUUUUUGAAAACACAGGUUAAUUUCCAAAUUUAAUAUUAUUAUGCCCUUUCAGUUUCAACUAAUGUUCGUAUUUUUAUAUAAAUAUAUUCUUGUCUUCUUGUUAUAUAGUCGUAUUCAUGUUUGGAAUGAAGACAUUAUUAAGAUUAGCUAAUACAAAAUGCAUAUUAAAAACGAGGAAAGUGAUUUGAAUCCUUAAAAUUGGAAUCAAAGAGUAUGUGUCUUUUUCUCCCCGUGUUUCGUUUCUGACAUUGCCACAUUUGUUGGAAUCUCUGGCAACUUAAUUAUUUUUAUUUUAUUCUGAUUCCACAUGACCUGUAAUCAAAUUAAUUCAGUUGUUUUGCUAGAUCGGGAAAUUAAUAUUUUUGAUCAUGAUAACCAACCGUUCUCCUGCAGUGAACUCCAGCAUUUUUUGGGGGUCAGUUACCGUUUCUGGACUCCGUAUAUUAAUAAGCUAACAGAGUUUGACUACAUUUGAUUUUGUGAACCAAAAUAUUAUUGCGGUUUCUUACGCUUUUUAUUUUCGCUCGUAAAUAUUAGUUUUAAAACAUCUUAUACAUCUUAAAAAAACAUCUUAUUCAUCUUAAACUUUUUUCUCAUUCAUCUUAAACUAAUUAUCUAAUAAAAUGUAGUUCACUAAAAUAUUAAAUAUUUAUGGCUUCAUAUCAAAAAAAUUCAAGUUGUCUUGGAAAUUAGAGAACAUAAAAUAUGCGGACUCAGAUGUGAAAUACGAAUCAUUACUCUGGAUAUGACUUAUUAUAUGCUUGUUUUCGCAGCAAAUUCUGGACUAGGACGUGUAAAUGUAGCGGUAAUCACAAAACCAAAAAAAGGAGUUACAUAAGGUUCUGCAGUAGUGUUUGAAAUCGAGGAAUCACAAAGUUAUCGUAAUAGAGCCGCCUUAUGAAGAAUGAAUCUUAUGUGUACAAUCUUUGCUUGAUAAUGCACAACCUUUAGGUGGAGAAAGGCCUAGAAGCAAUGAUAUAGAUUCUGAUUAUGAGGAGGAUUACGAAUAUGCAUGUUUGGACAGGGGAUUUCAAAACAUUUUUAGGGUUUCCAAAAAAAAGGAAAAUAAUGCACAGAUCCGUUGGUUGAAUAUGUGUGCAACACCCUUGAUAUUUUCCUUUUUAUUUGAGAUCCAAAGGGCUAAAAACAUGCCCUCUCUCAUCAGUAAUGAAUUAAGGACAUUUUCUUAAAUAAAAAAGGAAAUCAGAGUUUUGAAACUAUUAUAAAUAUGGGUGCAAUGGAUUGUAAAUUACUCAUUCACAUAAUCCAUAUACAAAUUCUAAACAGAUAUUUGUUUAUUUUAUUCAGAGUUUUGAAACAGCGUUUUGCAUUCUGAAGUUUUUUUUUUAAUUUUUUCAAAGUUAAUUCGACUUUGUUGUUCAUUCACAACAAACCCUAACUUAGCGAGAAAAAGUCUUCAAUUCUCAUACCCAUCUCUCCGUAGAACCGAACCAUGGGCGAAGACGAGACCAUCGAUUUUGAGUCGUGUAAGAUCUCUCUCCAUCUCUUACCCCUAAAUUAUUUUGUUGGAUUUCAAUUGAUCGAUUAUAGCAAAAUAAUGGUUUUUAUUUUAAUUUUCCGUAGUGAAGCAUACACUGGUGUUCUGGAACAUGGAUGAUUACCCAAUCCCUGUUGAUACUACGGAUGAUCUUGGUCCUGUUUUUGGUGAUAUCUCAAAAGCUCUUGAUCUAAUGGGUUUUCGUCUCGGUUUUAUGGACGUGAGAUUGUACUCUGAGCAACACAACUACGACAAAAAAUUGGCCGAUAUAAUCCGCCCAUCCUUACCCAAAUGUAAGCUCCUCACAACAACACUCUUGUCUUUUGCUUGUCUUUUCUAUUUUAAUCAUUAUUAUGUAAUCGGAGUUGUUUCUCUCUUGUUUAUUAGGUGGUGGUACUUAUUCGGGUUGUGUUUACAAAGUGCCGGAUAUCACUUUGCAUAUGAUUCGUCACGCAUUAUACAUGGGACCAGGACCAGUGAAUUUUUUUGUAAUCGCAAAACCACAAAGGGAGUUAUUCAGGGUUCUGCAGUGUUUGAAAUUGAGGCGUCACAAUGUUCUUCUAGUAAAGCCACCGCCGCCUGAUGAAGAAUGUCUCUUUAGUGUUGACUCUCUGCUUAAUACUGCACGACUUUUAGGUGGAGGAAAGCCUAGAUACAACCCUUUACAACGUUAUACGGAUGAGUUUGAUAGCUCUCUAGAAAAGUAUAUAGAGAUCAAAGAAGAUCUCUCCAAGACGGUAGAUUUCUCCGGUAAGACCCCAAAUUGUUUUUAGAUUUUUCUAUCUUUGAAAAUUUAUUAUAAAAUGGUAUUUUAUUUAACCUCUCUUUAUUGCAUGUAUGUAUGGCUCAGAGCGUAUCCCAACCGUGAAAGGGCCUAGGACAGCCGUCUUCUGGGACGCCGUGGAUUGCCCUUUCCCUCCUUCUUCCACCC
rnacentral:lncRNA from 1 species